rfam:Blastocystis hominis, Singapore isolate B (sub-type 7) whole genome shotgun sequence assembly, scaffold_0
GACUGUAUAGUGCAGUGGCUAACACGCUCGCCUGACACGCGAGAGAUCCCGAGUUCGAGCCUCGGUAUAGUCA